UACGGGGGGGGCAAGCGUUGUUCGGAAUUACUGGGCGUAAAGGGCUCGUAGGCGGCCAACUAAGUCAGACGUGAAAUCCCUCGGCUUAACCGGGGAACUGCGUCUGAUACUGGAUGGCUUGAGGUUGGGAGAGGGAUGCGGAAUUCCAGGUGUAGCGGUGAAAUGCGUAGAUAUCUGGAGGAACACCGGUGGCGAAGGCGGCAUCCUGGACCGGCAUUGACGCUGAGUGAGCGAAAGCCAGGGGAGCAAACGGG
rnacentral:rRNA from 1 species